rnacentral:rRNA from 1 species
UACGUAGGGUGCAAGCGUUAAUCGGAAUUACUGGGCGUAAAGCGUGCGCAGGCGGUUUUGUAAGUUUGUCGUGAAAUCCCCGGGCUCAACCUGGGAAUGGCGAUGAAGACUGCAAGGCUAGAAUCUGGCAGAGGGGGGGUAGAAUUCCACGUGUAGCAGUGAAAUGCGUAGAGAUGUGGAGGAACACCGAUGGCGAAGGCAGCCCCCUGGGUCAAGAUUGAC